rnacentral:snoRNA from 1 species
AGUCCUCAGCCUUACUCCAGGGACUUUUCAACCAAUAAAGUGUCUUGGCAUUGUCUGAGGAUAUAGCGAAACCAUGCUCACUUCCCUCCUCAAUAGGAUGUUUGCUUUCCUUUGAGGUCUACAGUCUGAGCAAACAUU